CGAAAACUGGUAUUUUGUAGAUUUGCGAGUGUGCGAAUGCUCGUGAGGUAAAUCGAUUAAUGUUUUUGGUAAGCUGCAAUGUUUGGACUGCAAAGUGCAUGAUUUCUGUGCCCUCGAUAUUUUUGGGCUUAAUGGGCCAAAAUUAGAAUGAUGGGCCAACGGGCCCAAUUCGGAAAUCCCCAACCGUAGUGGGCUUGGAGCUAUGAGGGAAUUCGGAGUGGCCACCCGUUCUGAAAGUUUGAUUUUCUUCUGGUGAACUGGACAUCCUUUUAUUUACGUUUGAAGUUUUUGGGCUUUUAAAUGUAAUAAGGCCGCUUAAUUAUUUUUAUGGUUUUAAUAUGUAUUACUAAGAUAGGUAAUACUUAUAUUUAACUGUUGAAAUUGGAUAGCUUUAGGGCGUGUUUUCAAAAACAA